rnacentral:rRNA from 1 species
UCGAACGGUAGCACGAAGGAGCUUGCUCCUUGGGUGACGAGUGGCGGACGGGUGAGUAAUGCUUGGGAAUCUGGCUUAUGGAGGGGGAUAACUACGGGAAACUGUAGCUAAUACCGCGUAAUAUCUUCGGAUUAAAGUGUGGGACCGCAAGGCCACAUGCCAUGAGAUGAGCCCAAGUGGGAUUAGGUAGUUGGUGGGGUAAAGGCCUACCAAGCCGACGAUCUCUAGCUGGUCUGAGAGGAUGACCAGCCACACUGGAACUGAGACACGGUCCAGACUCCUACGGGAGGCAGCAGUGGGGAAUAUUGCACAAUGGGGGGAACCCUGAUGCAGCCAUGCCGCGUGAAUGAAGAAGGCCUUCGGGUUGUAAAGUUCUUUCGGUAGCGAGGAAGGUAUCAAAUUUAAUAGAUUUGGUAAUUGACGUUAACUACAGAA